GAUGAACGUUAGCGAUAGGCUUAACACAUGCAAGUCGAGGGGCAGCGAGGGUAGCAAUACCUGUCGGCGACCGGCGCACGGGUGAGUAACGCGUAUGUAACCUGCCCGCAACAGUGGAAUAACCCGGCGAAAGUCGGACUAAUACCGCAUAAAACAGGGGUCCCGCAUGGGAAUAUUUGUUAAAGAUUUAUCGGUUGCGGAUGGGCAUGCGUACCAUUAGGUAGUUGGUGAGGUAACGGCUCACCAAGCCUUCGAUGGUUAGGGGUUCUGAGAGGAAGGUCCCCCACACUGGUACUGAGACACGGACCAGACUCCUACGGGAGGCAGCAGUGAGGAAUAUUGGUCAAUGGUCGAGAGACUGAACCAGCCAAGUCGCGUGAAGGAUGACUGCCCUAUGGGUUGUAAACUUCUUUUACAAGGGAAUAAAAUGAGAUACGGUGUAUUUUAUUGCAUGUACCUUGUGAAUAAGCAUCGGC
rnacentral:rRNA from 1 species